ACACGACUACAUUAGAUACCCCCGUAGUCCCAGCCGUAAACGAUACUCGCUAGGUGUCGGCCACGGUGCGACCGUUGUCGGUGCCGUAGGGAAGCCGUGAAGCGAGCCACCUGGGAAGUACGGCCGCAAGGCUGAAACUUAAAGGAAUUGGCGGGGGAGCACCACAACGGGUGGAGCUUGCGGUUUAAUUGGAUUCAACGCCGGAAAUCUUACCGGGACCGACAGCAACAUGAAGGCCAAGCUGAAGACUUUGCCGGAUUAGCUG
rnacentral:rRNA from 1 species